UCCAAACUGUCUUCCUUUUGCAUAGCUCUCAGCCUUGAAGCUUUGACUCAGCAAUACAAUAUUGCCAGGCUGCUGCUGCUAUGGCAAGAAUGAACCACACUAAAAGGAUGGACACAUUUGUCAGGAAAGCCUCAAGUCCUUCCCACAUAGGUGAUGGUUUAUUCCCAUGUCCAGUAUUGUCUUAGCUGUAGUUUCAACACUUCCCACUUAAGAAGAUAAAUUAUUGGAUGUGCAAAACAUCACACAGUGGCUUAAGGACUUCCACCCAUUCAGAUGUUUGUCCCUCUAAACUUUGACCUUGUGUUCAAGCCAGUGUUUCUGUAAUAUAUACUUUAAAAAUAUAUGGGUUAGCAUCUUGCAUAUUUAUUAAUAUUUUGAGAGUCAUUCUACAGCAUACACAAUAAUUACUUUUCAGUGAGGUCCUAGACACAUGAAAGAUUGCAGAAAAAGCAACACUUUUCACUGAUGACAAGUUUUAAAAAAAUAAAGCUUACUUAUUACUUGAAGGAGAGAAAAGGCCACGAAACAGGUAUUUUUACUUGGGAAAAGAGAAAAUUUUUAGCUUUUAAAUGUGCAGAGACACUAAAUCAACUAUCACAAAUGUGUGCUGGUGAUGCAGCCAACAACACUUAAUUAUCAGUUCUACAGGAAAAUUAGGUGAGAAAAUUACUUGUCUUUUUAUAUUUAUUUUAUUUAUAAAAGAAUCCAAAGACAAUGACAAUUCUCUCACUAAGCAUGUUAGACAAAGAUGGCUGGUCCGUCCUUUUCUUCUUCCUUGAUGAUACAGAUUGAUAAAUCCCUGCAGUAUACACAAUUUAAUUUGUGUUUCUCAUUUUCUAAGUUGGGGUUUUUUUCUGCAAUGUUGAAGGAAGCUGUUGAGGAAGAGAUGAAGGAGGCUUAUCUUUUAUAGGGACUUAGAUUAGAAAUAUUUGAGAUACAGAGACAAGAACCCUAUUUGGUCUCAUACGUUGCCUUUCUUUGCAAUGUGUGUGCCAUUAUUUUUGUGUGUUGAUAUUAUUUGCUUCUUUCUUCCUCAUAGAUAAUUUGGUUCAGUAAACAACACCUAGGCAUGAAGAUUGUGGUCAUAAUCACAUGGCUUGAUGUGUCCUCUGACAUCCCAGCCUGAUUAUUUCUCCCCAGUAUAGGAGCAGAAAUCAGUGGCCACAGCUGGAGGGAACAGGAGGGCAGAGCCAUGGAUGGAAUUCCAGCAAUACCACACAUCUGUUUUGUGGCCAAACAUUUUGUAUCAUGAAAUCACAGCCCUAUGGAGCAUGGAAAAACAGGAGAUGCUUAAUAUUUUCAGGACUAGUACUAAAUUUUAUUAAUUAUUUGAUUUGGACUAUGCCAACCCUGGAGCACACAAGAAAAGUUCCACGCUUUGAAGAUGUCUUAAUAUGUGAUUAACUUUGUGUUGCAGAUCAGGCCUUAAUUCCUUCAUGCCUGGGUGUGUAGCAAAGCAGGAGUCUGCACAGAUACAGAGUCUGUGUUUGGUCUAUGAUCAGUCCCAUGUGGAUGUCCCCUCUUCUCAGAUGGAUGGAGGUCACCUAAAACCCACUGAAAGCUUUUGUGCUAGCAAGACUGGCUUUCUCCCUGAGGAACUCUAGAGGACAGGAUUUACUCUAUUUUGUGAUUAAAAAGGUGACUUAGAUGGCAAUGGAAGAAUCAUCUCAACCUGAAAAGGUACUGAGGCAGUUGGGGAUGAAUGAUUCCAUGGCUGUUUUUUUUCUCCCAACAGCAAAGUGGACCGAAGCAGCACUUUCUUCCCUUCUGGCUGCUUUGUCCUGCCCUGCAGCAGCUCCUAGUUAUGACUGAGCAUGUCUUUCAUCACCCAGGAGUUCAUUGCCUCUAAGAGUAAUCUUUACCUUGCUUUUGCUUUGUUAUUUUUAAGCUGAACUUGUUUCUCCAUUCACAAGUGGAUGCUUCUUUCCAAAGCCUUUUUUAGAGGCACUGAGUUGAUUGUUGUUUUAUUGCUGCAUUCCAUUUGUCUUCAGCUGGCAGAUUUCUUCCACCUUGGACCUACUAACCAUAAGAAAGGUAAUUAUGUAUAGAUCAUGUAUAGGUGAUAAGCAAAGUCUGCUAUUGUGUAAAUUCCUUUUUACUGGAAAAUCAGUAAGAAACUUGAAAAUUCUAGCCAUCUGUAUCACUUUCUGAGAUGCAGUAAGGCAUAGCAAGGUAAUCUGUAGAUUAAAAAGCCAAGGAGUUGACUGACUUUAAAAUUACAGUUACAAUAAUCUGUGUUAAAAGUGGUCUAUGAUGGUGAUCCCUUCCCUUGGCCUGUUGAAUGCAAGUGUAUCUCAGGAUAUGAAUUCUUCUCAAGGUGAGUUAAGGGAAGGCAGAAAAGCAGGAAGGCAAAUAAUUUUCUCAACAUUAAGGUAAGAAAUAAAUCAUCAGGAACUAAACUGAUUUGGAUUUUGUCUCUGGUGCCCAUCUGUCACCAGGACCCAGUGUAGCUGCUACAUAUGAAUAUGGCAAGAGAAAUUCUGGCUCAAAAAAAUCUUACCAUGCAUGUAUGAUGGAAGAUGAAAGAAAAGAGUGAUCUUGAGAGGGGACAGUUACCUAUGUCUCAGUAUUCAGCAAGUUUCCAUCAAGUAUAUCAUCCUACACCAGCAGCAACUGCCUGUUCACCAGGGGGAAGGGGAGAGUGCCCCUGGGAGAGUGUGGCAUUUCAAGGCAAAAAGAUCAUAGGCAGUGUCCUUUCAGCAGUGGGUUUAGCUUUCCCUUGAGUUAAAUAGGAAUAGGUAGUGAUCACAUAUUUUCCUGAUCAUUGUUUAAUAACCAUGCAAGCAAGGGUCUAGUUGGCUGUUGGCAUCGCUACCAGUUCUGGUUAUAGUGUGCCCAGCCAAUUUCUAUAUUUUCUAGGAGGGUACAUGCCAUUGGAGCCAAGGAAAACAUGUUCUCCUGAGAUACAGGUCUAGCAGUGUCUAAUAAAAGGCCUGAUGAAUAAAAAUUUCUGCAAGGUUUAUUUUCCCCUGGGAAAUUAAGCAUUGUAUACCAUAAUGUGCCUGGCAUAUGGCUGUCUAUGCAUGGGAGCACUGGAUCCAAUCCCUGACUCAGCAAAGUACUGCAAGCAGUGUUUGGUUGCUAAAGACAGGACUUGGGCACAGGUCUAAAGCUGGGCACAUACUCAGCCAAAUAAAAUUCAUUUCACUUGUGCACAGAAAAGGUAAAACACUGACAUUUGUAUUGUGACACAAAGCUAAUUUUUUUCUUACGUAAGUAGUGGAUCAAAAAAUGGUAGUGAGCCUGUUUUCCAGAUUAAUUCAAUUUAUUUUAGAUGUGUGUUACUUUGUCUCUUCACCUUGCAGAUAUUAUUUGCAGAGAGACAAGGUAUGCAAAAAUUGAUUUACAAGACCAAGUGCACAAUCCACAUAGUGAAAUAGGUCUUCUGGCUGUUAUCUUUAUUAUUUGUAUUGUAUCACCCUGUUCUGACUGCAGGAGACAAUAGCCAUAUAGUUUGCAGUGGAUAGUUAAUGAACUGACAAACAAUCAGCCAGAUUUCUUUUCUUGGCUAAUCAUUUACAGAUUUGUUAAUGCUCUAAUGUCAAAGUGUUUCUAUCCUGGUAUGUCUCACUGUCUAGGACAGAACGGUGCUCCUUCUGCCUACCACCAUGUAAAUGUUCAAUUCUUCUUUUUAAUGCUAAUGGUAGGUUCCAGAGAACCCUACAACAACAUUUUAACUCUUAAAAAUCUAGUCUCCUUGAUGGUUUUAGGCUAUUUGCUUCUUAAUUACUUUGCAAAUUUCUUUGCUCUUGCAUUUAAAAAAAAAUAUCUGGGAUGUCAUUUUUUUUCUAACCGGUACUACUUUGAAACCAGAGAAGUGCUUGUGGGUGUCAUUCUAUGCUUUCAGACAUCACCACCUUUCUUUUGGAGGUUUAGAAAUUGGUAUGCAAAUACCCAACACCCUUUUGCAUCAACCUCAUUAGAGCCAAUAAACAUUUCACUUUAAACAUCAAUGUUCCCAAAUGGGAGGGUUGAAAAUCCAGCCUGUUUAUCUCUUUUCAAACAGGUGACUCCUUAUUACCCUCUGAAAAACUGGAAUACAAAGCAGUCUCUCAUCUGUAGCUGUUACAGCCUGUGAUGCAGUGCAGUCAGGGUUUAUUUUCUCUCUUCCUUUGGUGGCCACUUAGCCAUCAAAUUCACACACACACUCUUAAAUAUUCAUGCAAUCACACUAGUGUCUUAAUAUUUGCACUAAUUCCAUUUCUCUCCACUUUACGUUCAGCACAGAAAAUUCUUCAGACCCUUCACAGUGAAUGUGGGGGACAAAGCAGCAGUGGCAGCUGGACAGACACCCCAUCCAUGCCCAGCUCCACUGCAGCUGAGUCACCAGCAGGAGCUGUUACAGGGUGCUUGUGGGCAGGAAAACGCGGGUGCAGUGGGGCUGAAUGAAGAACACACCACAAGGAAGAGCAAAGGCAUAUGGUGCUAGAACUGAAACAGAAAAUUGAGAGUUUGUGCUAAGCUUAAAAAGCAAAAAUUUCUCUCUGCAUCCAAGAAAGAAACAUGGCUUGGUGGGUCGAGCAGGAAGCAGUCAGGACAAAGGUGCUAUUUCUGACUUUUUUUACUGGCUGUGGUGAGACUUUUUUGAUAGCCCCAUUUCCUAUCUUUAACAUGAGGGUUUUACUUGCUAAAAUGGCAAGAACCAGUGGCUCUGCAGGAGAUUUGGCUGACAGGCAUAGAAAACUGCUAGGGAUCUCUUCUGUAACUCAUUACAGAUUGUAACUACACUUCUUCAAAGUCUCUCAAAUAAAGAAUUAAAUGCCUGAAUUAAAAAAAAAAAGUAUCAAAUUUGAAGUUCAUUUUUAAUAUGACAGCCUUUGAAAACAUUGGGACCUACCCCAGCAUUUGUUGCUCUUCCAGAAUUCCUUUUCCUGCCAAAAUAACAUAUGCAAGAAGUGUAAGUAGGAAGGAGAGGGGAGACUGUGCCCCUUCUCCUCCCUCACACUUGAAGCCAACAGCUGAGAUUCAAAUGCAAAUGCCAGUAUUCUCUAACUCUCCAGGAACUUUUGAGUCUUGGUGUCUUACACCUAUGUGACAACUUAGGCUAAAUUAAAAAUCAAAGAGAUUUCCCCUGGAGUAAGGUACUGCUUGUUAUGAGUGAGGAUAUCAUAAUUGGGGCUGCCAGGAGGUUUAUGAACUCCACUUGCUGAAGGAGGCUUUGGGACUCUGAAGCACCGAAGUCUGUAUUUUCUGUCUGGAGUCAUCCCAGCUGCUGCCCUCCCCAAGCCAGAUGUGUAAAACCAACAAACAUGCUGCAGAUCCCAUUUAAAUGCUAAUAAUGUGUCUCUCUUCUCUGUGAACUUGGUAGAUCAGGGGGAUGAGCUUGUGCCCCUGCUCUCAUCCUGCUGCUGUGGUGGCUCCUAGGUAAAAGGAGAGGCAGGUCCUGGGUGCAGGUGCCCUUUGCAGGGGUGCUGUGCAGUCUCCUCGUAAUGUCUGCUCUGACUGGAGCUGCCGGUGUUGACAGGUCGAGGUCUCUGCUGUAGCUGCCAGUCUGUGCACUUCAAAGCUUUGAUUUUCCCCUGUUUUAUCCCAAUGUCCCCUAAGCACGUGCCCACCCAUUGUAGUGAAGUGGUGAAGAGGGGGAAAACAUACAUUAGGUAGCUUUCUUUAGCAAAUAUUGGAUGGGACAUUCAAAGUCAGUAACUUGAAACACAGAGGGGGUUUAAUGGCAGUGGAAUUUUUUUCUUUGAUCUCUUUCUAUCUGCUCUUCAUCUUUAUCUUUCCUCAGUACCUUAAAUGACAGGCUCUUCUGGAAGAAUACAUCAUAGCUGAGGAUCACCUUCAGGUUUUUUGCUCAAACAAGUGUCAAGUGCCGGCAUUUUGCAGCUGGCAUCACUUUCGCCCGGUGCAAAGGACACUAAAGAAGACAGUACACAGAGAAUCCAGCCUGUGGACGCUGAAGAUCAGCAAGUAUAGCCAUUACAUCUCAUUGGAGGUGUUUAGCCCUGGGCCAUGUUAAGGGCUGACACAGUCACAUGAUUUAGGAGAGUCAAACCUCAAGUAGAAAACUUUUAUAUAGGGGGUGUGUGUAUACAUCAGUGGAUCAGUCCAAACAUCCAUCUGUCCUCUCCCUGCAGUGGUACCUAUGCCACACUUUAAUCAAGGAAUGCUUCCCGGGCUUCCUGCAUCACAUGAAUGUGCUUGGCAGCACCAUCUUGGGUGUGUUUUACCUGGGCUGUUCCAGGCCCUUUCCCAUCUCCCCAGCAGCUUUUUUCAUUGUAUUAUCACUAUAUUUGCAAUUAUCACAGUAAUCCCUUGUCUUUCUGCAAGUAAACAGUGAGGCAAAUGAGUUUUUUUAUAAAAUGUGAAGUAUUUGACCGUAAAUAAAUUUUUCUUCCACUGUCAAA